CACCAGCAUUCCAGGUAGAAGGAAUAGUAUCUGUUAAUAUUGAAGGAACUGAAUGGAGGUUGUCAUAGCCAAAGCAGUGGGCUGUGGGAGAGUUGUGUGCGAUGAAGUCAGGGCCAGAUAGGGAAGGCCGUGGAGUUCUUUUAAGCCUUCAUACAAAGUUUGCAAUUUAUUCUAAGUAAUAGCACAUAGGAUAUUCUUUUAUAUAUGACUGUGAGAUGCAGAAGUGGAGACCAUGCAUUCUAACUGGGGCUUGGGAGGCCAGGGACUCAUGCAGCCUAGCCUGGCACAUAGCCAGGCACUCCCAUUUAAAUGCUGAUUGCUGGUGAGAUGCAGGCUCUUGUCCUAGCUCUG
rnacentral:lncRNA from 1 species